CAAUAGCGUAUAUUAAAGUUGUUGCAGUUAAAAAGCUCGUAGUUGGAUUUGUGGUGUACUUCGGCGGCCCGUCACUAUGUGAUGGAGUUUGCUGAAGUCGCCAUCCUUGGGUGGAUCCUGUGUGGCAUUAAGUUGUCGUGCAGGGGAUGCCCAUCGUUUACUGUGAAAAAAUUAGAGUGUUCAAAGCAGGCUUAUGCCGUUGAAUAUGUUAGCAUGGAAUAAUAAGAUAGGACCUUGGUACUAUUUUGUUGGUUUGCGCACCAAGGUAAUGAUUAAUAGGGACAGUUGGGGGUAUUCGUAUUUCAUUGUCAGAGGUGAAAUUCUUGGAUUUUUGAAAGACGAACUACUGCGAAAGCAUUUACCAAGGAUGUUUNCAUUAA
rnacentral:rRNA from 1 species